rnacentral:rRNA from 1 species
UCGUUCCUACGGGGCGCAGCAGUGAGGAAUAUUGGUCAAUGGGCGAAAGCCUGAACCGGCCAUGCCGCGUGCAGGAAGACGGCUCUAUGAGUUGUAAACUGCUUUUGUACGAAGGUAAACACAGAUACGUGUAUCUGCUUGAAAGUAUCGUAUGAAUAAGGAUCGGCUAACUCCGUGCCAGCAGCCGCGGUAAUACGGAGGAUCCGAGCGUUAUCCGGAUUCAUUGGGUUUAAAGGGUGCGUAGGUUGUUUUAUAAGUUAGCGGUGAAAUACCGAUGCCCAACAUCGGGGCUGCCGCUAAUACUG